rnacentral:rRNA from 1 species
ACGGGGCCCCGCACAAGCAGCGGAGCGUGUGGUUUAAUUCGAUGCUACACGAAGAACCUUACCAGGGUUUGACAUACAAGUAGUAGGGAAAGGAAACUGGACCGACCCUUCGGGGAGCUUGAACAGGUGCUGCAUGGCUGUCGUCAGCUCGUGUCGUGAGAUGUUCGGUUAAGUCCGCUAACGAGCGCAACCCUCGCUGUGUGUUACAAGUGUCACACGGAACUGCCGGUCAUAAACCGGAGGAAGGUGGGGAUGACGUCAAGUCAGCAUGGCCUUUAUAUCCUGGGCUACACACACGCUACAAUGGGAAGGGACAAUAGGUUGCGAAACCGCGAGGUGGAGCCAAUCCAGCAAAACUUCCCUCAGUUCAGAUUGCAGGCUGCAACUCGCCUGCAUGAAGUUGGAGUUGCUAGUAAACGCAGGUCAGCCAUACUGCGUUGAAUACGUUCCCGGGGCUU